rnacentral:lncRNA from 1 species
GUUUUGGAUGAAAGAAAGCAGGGAAUCUUGCAAUUUCAAUUUCAAAAGUGAAGUAGAAUAAAACUUCUGGAUUCUGCCUUACAUGACAGAUUUUGUCUGACCACUUUGGUUGCAAUUUUUGCAUCCCUUGGAUUUUCAUUUAAUGCCAUGGAGAUUGGUGAAUGAGAUUCAUUGAGCUGCUAUGCAAGCUCUUGAUGAGCUCGAGUUAGAGCGAGUUUUAGGAUGAUACUGAAUGUUGGAUUAGCUUGGCAGUAUUGGUGGUUUGGUGCAAGAGUAACUUUAUUUGUUCUUGCCUCUCUAUUCCAGACAUCAUUCGCCAUAUGUAUCAAUCAGUUCAAAAUCCCUCUGUGAAUUUCAGUAUUGGUGGAUAGCAUACAGUCACAUCAUGAAAAGGUAAAUUAAGAUAUACUAAGGUCUCCCACUUCCAAUGUCAUGACCGAGACAGAAAUAGGAAGACUUUGAGAAAUACAGAGGAUGCUUAU